rnacentral:rRNA from 1 species
UAAGCGGAGGAAAAGAAACUAACAAGGAUUCCCCUAGUAACGGCGAGUGAACCGGGAAGAGCUCAAAUUUGAAAUCUGGCGUGCUCAGUGCGUCCGAGUUGUAAUCUAUAGAGUCGUUUUCCGUGCCGGACUGUGUCCAAGUCCCUUGGAACAGGGUAUCAAAGAGGGUGAUAAUCCCGUACUUGACACAAUGACCGGUGCUCUGUGAUACGUCUUCUACGAGUCGAGUUGUUUGGGAAUGCAGCUCAAAAUGGGUGGUGAGUUCCAUCUAAAGCUAAAUAUUGGCGAGAGACCGAUAGCGAACAAGUACCGUGAGGGAAAGAUGAAAAGCACUUUGGAAAGAGAGUUAAACAGUACGUGAAAUUGUUAAAAGGGAAACGAUUGAAGUCAGUCGUGACUGAGAGGCUCAGCCGGUUCUGCCGGUGUAUUCCCCUCAGUCGGGUCAACAUCAGUUUUGUUCGGUGGAUAAGGGCAGUUGGAAGGUGGCACCCUCGGGUGUGUUAUAGCCAGCUGUCGCAUACAUCGGAUGAGACUGAGGAAUGCAGCUCGCCUUUAUGGCCGGGGUUCGCCCACGUUCGAGCUUAGGAUGUUGACAUAAUGGCUUUAAACGAC